CAGUAGCCGCGGUAAAACGGAGGGCGCGAGCGUUACCCGGAUUUACUGGGCGUAAAGGGCGUGUAGGCGGCCUGGGGCGUCCCAUGUGAAAGGCCACGGCUCAACCGUGGAGGAGCGUGGGAUACGCUCAGGCUAGAGGGUGGGAGAGGGUGGUGGAAUUCCCGGAGCAGCGGUGAAAUGCGCAGAUACCGGGAGGAACGCCGAUGGCGAAGGCAGCCACCUGGUCCACUUCUGACGCUGAGGCGCGAAAGCGUGGGGAGCAAACCGGAUUAGAUACCCCGGUAGUCCCUGUCUCUUAUAC
rnacentral:rRNA from 1 species